rnacentral:rRNA from 1 species
CGAGCGGUAGAUUGCUUUCGGGCAAUUGAGAGCGGCGCACGGGUGCGGAACACAUGUGCAACCUACCUUUAUCAGGGGGAUAGCCUUUCGAAAGGAAGAUUAAUACCCCAUAAUAUUUAGAAUGGCAUCAUUUUAAAUUGAAAACUCCGGUGGAUAGAGAUGGGCACGCGCAAGAUUAGAUAGUUGGUGAGGUAAUGGCUCACCAAGUCAAUGAUCUUUAGGGGGCCUGAGAGGGUGAUCCCCCACACUGGUACUGAGACACGGACCAGACUCCUACGGGAGGCAGCAGUGAGGAAUAUUGGACAAUGGGUGAGAGCCUGAUCCAGCCAUCCCGCGUGAAGGACGACUGCCCUAUGGGUUGUAAACUUCUUUUGUACAGGGAUAAACCUAGAUACGUGUAUCUAGCUGAAGGUACUGUACGAAUAAGCACCGGCUAACUCCGUGCCAGCAGCCGCGGUAAUACGGAGGGUGCAAGCGUUAUCCGGAUUUAUUGGGUUUAAAGGGUCCGUAGGCGGACUUGUAAGUCAGUGGUGAAAUCUCAUAGCUUAACUAUGGAACUGCCAUUGAUACUGCAGGUCUUGAGUAAGGUAGAAGUAGCUGGAAUAAGUAGUGUAGCGGUGAAAUGCAUAGAUAUUACUUAGAACACCAAUUGCGAAGGCAGGUUACUAUGUCUUAACUGACGCUGAUGGACGAAAGCGUGGGGAGCGAACAGGAUUAGAUACCCUGGUAGUCCACGCCGUAAACGAUGCUAACUCGUUUUUGGGUUUUAAAGAUUCAGAGACUAAGCGAAAGUGAUAAGUUAGCCACCUGGGGAGUACGUUCGCAAGAAUGAAACUCAAAGGAAUUGACGGGGGCCCGCACAAGCGGUGGAUUAUGUGGUUUAAUUCGAUGAUACGCGAGGAACCUUACCAAGGCUUAAAUGGGAAUUGACAGGCUCAGAAAUGUGCUUUUCUUCGGACAAUUUUCAAGGUGCUGCAUGGUUGUCGUCAGCUCGUGCCGUGAGGUGUUAGGUUAAGUCCUGCAACGAGCGCAA